UACAGAGGUGGCAAGCGUUGUUCGGAAUUACUGGGCGUAAAGGGCUCGUAGGUGGCCAACUAAGUCAGACGUGAAAUCCCUCGGCUUAACCGGGGAACUGCGUCUGAUACUGGAUGGCUUGAGUUCGGGAGAGGGAUGCGGAAUUCCAGGUGUAGCGGUGAAAUGCGUAGAUAUCUGGAGGAAUACCGGUGGCGAAGGCGGCAUCCUGGACCAUUACUGACGCUGAGGCGCGAAAGCUAGGGGAGCAAACGGG
rnacentral:rRNA from 1 species